GGGCGGUGUGGGGGGGUGGUUGUUCGCCUCAGGCCGCCAUGAUGGAUCUGUGAGGGGAGUGCGCGCCCAGCCUCGCAGAGUCAGCCUGGCCAGCCAGCUUCUUAAGAGAUCUCCUGCAGCUUUCAUUGAGAAGCUCCAAGCUGGCAGCAUCUAAAAUCUUGGAAACAGACUGUGGAAGGAAGAAAAGACCGAAUUAUUGAUUCCUUAGGAGACGCCGUUCAAAGCUCUAGGAGCUACUCCCAUUCAAAAAAAAAUAGAAGUCAGAAAGUACUGAUGCAAAGCCAGAGAAGCUGUCUGAAGCAAUACCUCAUCAUGUCCCAGCAUCCCAAGAAGCACCGUGCUGAUGUUCUUCCUAAUUGUGGCAUCUACUUUUGCAC